rnacentral:rRNA from 1 species
AUAGGAGAUAGAACUUUUUUUUUGGUGCUAUAGAGAUAGUACCGCAAGGGAAAGAUGAAAGACAAAAGUCAAUAGUGGAAAAAAAGCAUAGAUAACCCCUACUACCUUUUGUAUAAUGAGUUAACUAGAAUAAACUUGGCAAAGCGGACUGAAGCCAACCACCCCGAAACCAAAGGAGCUACUUUCAAACAGCUAACAGAGCAAACUUGUCUAUGUGGCAAAAUAGUGAGAAGAUUUAAGAAGUAGAGGUGAAAAGCCAACUGAGCUUGAUAAUAGCUGGUUAUCCAAAUAAGAAUCUUAGUUCAGCUUUAAGUUUUCCCAAAAUAUUACUAAAUUGAAUGAAAACUUAAAACUUAAUUUAAAGAGGGACAGCUCUUUAAAAUAAGGAAACAACCUUUAACAGUGGGUAAAAAACAAAGCCUUCAUAGUUGGCCUAAGAGCAGCCAUCAAUUGAGAAAGCGUUCAAGCUCAACAAACCAUACAACUUUUACUACCAACAAAAUUCAAUGAGCCCCUGAUUAACAACUGGAUUAAUCUAUAAAUACAUAGAAGAGAUAAUGUUAAUAUUAGUAACAAGAAAUAAUUCUCCCUGCACAAGCUUAAAUCAAAUAUACAUUUGAUUGUUAACAACUCAAUAAGACAAGACACCUCAUUAGUACUAUUAUUAAGCUAAUUGUUAAUCCAACACAGGAGUGCUGCUCGGGAAAGACGAAACAAAGCAAAAGGAACUUGGCAAACAUAAAUCCCACCUGUUUACCAAAAAUAUCACCUCUAGCCUCCCCAGUAUUAGAGGCACUGCCUGCCCAGUGAUGUCAGUUUAACGGCCGCGGUAUUCUGAAUGCAAAGAUAGCAUAAUCACUUGUUCUUUAAAUAAGGACUCCUAUGAAUGGCUAGCCGAGGGUUUAAUUGUCUCUUGCUUUAUGUCAGUGAAAUUGAUCUUCCCAUGAAGAAGCGGGAAUGAUAUACUAAGAUGAGAAGACCCUAUGGAGCUUUAAUUUAUUAGUCUAUUCAACCCAUCUCCAACCCUCAAGGACAUAAAACGCAUAGAACCUAGACUAAUAACUUCGGUUGGGGUGACCUCGGAGAAUAGUAAAACCUCUGAAUGAUAUUAACCUAGAUCCAACAAAUCAAAGUUUACAUCAUCAAUUGAUCCAAAACUCCUUUUGACCAACUGACCAAGUUACCCUAGGGAUAACAGCGCAAUCCUAUUCUAGAGUUCAUAUCGACAAUAGGGUUUACAACCUCGAUGUUGGAUCAAGACAUCCUAAUGGUGCAGCCGCUAUUGAGGGUUUGUUCGUUCAAUGAUUAAUAGUCCUUACAUGAUCUGAGUUCAGACCGGAGCAAUCCAGGUUGCUUUCUAUCUAUUAUAAACUUCUCCUAGUA